GAUGAAGAACGCAGUGAAAUGCGAUACUUGGUGUGAAUUGCAGAAUCCCGUGAACCAUCGAGUCUUUGAACGCAAGUUGCGCCCGAAGCCACUAGGCCGAGGGCACGCCUGCCUGGGCGUCACACGCCGUUGCCCCCCCAUCUACUCCUUCGGGAUUGCGGGGGGGCGGAUGAUGGCCUCCCGUGCGCCUAGCCGCGCGGUUGGCAUAAAUACCAAGUCCUCGGCGACGCACGCCACGACAAUCGGUGGUUGCGAAACCUCGGUUGCCCGUCGUGUGCGUUCGUCGCGCAUCGAGGGCUCGAAAAAAUGCUCGGCUCCGGCUGGGCUUUCAACGCGACCCCAGGUCAGGAGGGGUUACCCGCUGAAUUUAAGCAUAUCAAUAAGCGGAGGA
rnacentral:misc_RNA from 1 species